GAUGAACGCUGGCGGCGUGCCUAAUACAUGCAAGUCGAACGAGUUCUCGUUGAUGAUCGGUGCUAGCACCGAGAUUCAACAUGGAACGAGUGGCGGACGGGUGAGUAACACGUGGGUAACCUGCCCUUAAGUGGGGGAUAACAUUUGGAAACAGAUGCUAAUACCGCAUAGAUCCAAGAACCGCAUGGUUCUUGGCUGAAAGAUGGCGUAAGCUAUCGCUUUUGGAUGGACCCGCGGCGUAUUAGCUAGUUGGUGAGGUAAUGGCUCACCAAGGCGAUGAUACGUAGCCGAACUGAGAGGUUGAUCGGCCACAUUGGGACUGAGACACGGCCCAAACUCCUACGGGAGGCAGCAGUAGGGAAUCUUCCACAAUGGACGCAAGUCUGAUGGAGCAACGCCGCGUGAGUGAAGAAGGCUUUCGGGUCGUAAAACUCUGUUGUUGGAGAAGAAUGGUCGGCAGAGUAACUGUUGUCGGCGUGACGGUAUCCAACCAGAAAGCCACGGCUAACUACGUGCCAGCAGCCGCGGUAAUACGUAGGUGGCAAGCGUUAUCCGGAUUUAUUGGGCGUAAAGCGAGCGCAGGCGGUUUUUUAAGUCUGAUGUGAAAGCCCUCGGCUUAACCGAGGAAGCGCAUCGGAAACUGGGAAACUUGAGUGCAGAAGAGGACAGUGGAACUCCAUGUGUAGCGGUGAAAUGCGUAGAUAUAUGGAAGAACACCAGUGGCGAAGGCGGCUGUCUGGUCUGUAACUGACGCUGAGGCUCGAAAGCAUGGGUAGCGAACAGGAUUAGAUACCCUGGUAGUCCAUGCCGUAAACGAUGAAUGCUAGGUGUUGGAGGGUUUCCGCCCUUCAGUGCCGCAGCUAACGCAUUAAGCAUUCCGCCUGGGGAGUACGACCGCAAGGUUGAAACUCAAAGGAAUUGACGGGGGCCCGCACAAGCGGUGGAGCAUGUGGUUUAAUUCGAAGCAACGCGAAGAACCUUACCAGGUCUUGACAUCUUUUGAUCACCUGAGAGAUCAGGUUUCCCCUUCGGGGGCAAAAUGACAGGUGGUGCAUGGUUGUCGUCAGCUCGUGUCGUGAGAUGUUGGGUUAAGUCCCGCAACGAGCGCAACCCUUAUGACUAGUUGCCAGCAUUUAGUUGGGCACUCUAGUAAGACUGCCGGUGACAAACCGGAGGAAGGUGGGGAUGACGUCAAAUCAUCAUGCCCCUUAUGACCUGGGCUACACACGUGCUACAAUGGAUGGUACAACGAGUUGCGAGACCGCGAGGUCAAGCUAAUCUCUUAAAGCCAUUCUCAGUUCGGACUGUAGGCUGCAACUCGCCUACACGAAGUCGGAAUCGCUAGUAAUCGCGGAUCAGCACGCCGCGGUGAAUACGUUCCCGGGCCUUGUACACACCGCCCGUCACACCAUGAGAGUUUGUAACACCCGAAGCCGGUGGCGUAACCCUUUUAGGGAGCGAGCCGUCUAAGGUGGGACAAAUGAUUAGGGUG
rnacentral:rRNA from 2 species